rnacentral:rRNA from 1 species
UACAGAGGGUGCGAGCGUUAAUCGGAAUUACUGGGCGUAAAGCAUGCGCAGGCGGUUCGCUGUGUCCGAUGUGAAAGCCCCGGGCUCAACCUGGGAACUGCAUCCGAUACGGCGGGACUGGAGUGUGGGAGAGGUUGGUGGAAUUCCCAGUGUAGAGGUGAAAAUUCGUAGAUAUUGGGAAGAACACCGGUGGCGAAGGCGGCCAACUGGACCACAACUGACGCUGAGGCGCGAAAGCUAGGGUAGCAAACGGGAUUGAGAA